rnacentral:rRNA from 1 species
UACGGGGGGGGCAAGCGUUGUUCGGAAUUACUGGGCGUAAAGGGCUCGUAGGCGGCCAACUAAGUCGGAUGUGAAAUCCCCAGGCUCAACCUGGGAACUGCAUCCGAUACUGGAUGGCUUGAAUCCGGGAGAGGGAUGCAGAAUUCCAGGUGUAGCGGUGAAAUGCGUAGAUAUCUGGAGGAAUACCGGUGGCGAAGGCGGCAUCCUGGACCGGCAUUGGCGCUGAGGAGCGAAAGCCAGGGGAGCAAACGGG